UGGGGCGCUGCCACGGCCGGCGGAGAGGCGCCGCCGCAGCCCGCGCGGUGACUACACCGCCGCCGAAGACCGAGCGCCCCGCCCCGCCCUCUCUCCCGACCCACCUCUCAGCAGGAUGGGGCGCCGCACGGCCGGUGGACAGCCACCGCUGGGCCCGCCCCACCCGCGCGCGGCUGCUCCCGCGUUGGCGCGUGGCUCUCCCCUCGCCAGAAUCCAAGUCACUGAAUCUGAAUCCAUUACGAACCCUACCUUUUGAUUCCCCAUAUCCCUUCCUCCUCCCGUUUCCCCGUCGCAAACUCCUGCGUGCACAUCUGUGCAGAGGCGGCCAUGGAUUCGGUGACCUAGGUCUAGGAACACCCAUUGCAGGAAGUGAGCUUGUUGAAUUACAUCAGCAGGAUCUCAGGCCUUCUUGGAUUUCAGCAACAGCAUCUCAGGGUGAGUUUGUCCCUCCUUUUUUCCUUGUCAUGUGUUAUUGGGCAUCUGAUGAGAUAACUAAUUUCAUUCAAGUUCUUGCUUUAGUAUCCAAUAAGUAGGGAUUGUACUGCUCAUUUAGUCUCAUUGGGUAACCAGGUUGGUCAAUAUACGCAACUUAAAAAUAUCAAGCUCAUGAAAAAUAAUGUCAAGUCUCAUGAAAUUAACUUGAUUGGUAGAUAAAAUCUGUGAUUAUAUCGCAUUGAAUCAGAGGUACUUUCUUAUGCAUUGAAGCUAACAAUAGUUUCAAAGAUGAAAGAGUAGAUAUUGUCCCAAAGAUAUGUCAAAAUAGCCCAUAGGUUGUUGCUUAAGAAUAUAGUAAUGUACUCCUGGUUGGGUCAACAUGUCCUCUUUUCUUAUCAUGGCUAUCUCAGCUAACUCACUGUGAGAAACUAAGAAAGAACUUUUCUUUCUUGUUCCCUCUGAAGAGGUUUGAUCCAUGUGAUGUUUUUCAGUAAAUGCAUAUCAUUUACUUUUCAGAGCUGGGUAGCUGACUGGUGAAUAGCAAGAGAAAAUGUUAACUUAUCUGAAUUUUGCCAUGCUAGGUAACUUCUGCAAAGUGCUAACCAUGAUUGCUUUUGCCAAGUGCUAAUUUAGGUAGAGGGAAUGAUCAUUGGUCAAUGGUUUUUGAUUUUGCUUAUGUCAUAGUACUUGCAAGUUUACCACGCUUAAAUUUUUCAAUUGUUCAAUCUAUCACAGUAGAAAAUUACUGAAUUGCAGCUAGCUGCUAUUCAUGAUUGAAAUACACUAGCUUGAAAUAAACCAGCAUGCAUGUGCACUAUUUGUUGUGCCUCUUGGCGCCAGUAGUGGUGGAGCACCCAUUGGCUGUGUUGGAGACUCUUGAUGGACUUAAAUUUAGAUGGUUGCUUGCUGAUUUACACCAUAAUUUCCCUUAAUGUUGAAAAUAUAAUGGGAUCCAUGGACAGUGUGGAACCUUUAAAUUUCUGAAUCGCAGGAAGUGCCAUCAAAUGGCUCCAUGAAGUUUCAUCUGUUUGGAUAUAGGUUAGAGUCAAUAGGUUGAAUUUCUAAUUCAAAUUUAUUCUGCAAAACAAGGUUUUGCAUUCAUGAUAAGCAGAUAGAGCAAGCCUAUGAGGACUUGCUGAAUUCGUCAAAGCAGACUUUGGCUAGCAUGACGGAACUACCGGAGGCUUUGCUGGAGAGUAACCAGCCUGUAAAGGAUGCCGAUGAAUGACGAGUGGUAUGCCUCCAAUGGACAGAAUGACGAGUGGUCAGAAGUACAGAGAUUGCAGACAAGGAACCCAACGCCCAGAGGUCCAAAAAUUCCCCACCCAUGUGCCAGCCGGACAGGAACCCACGAAUUGCUCUAGAAAACCUAUAUCCUCUCCCCUCACCCCCUACUCUCCCCAUCACAGCGGUUCCUGCGCAGCCAGCGCAGGCAAGAGCGCCCGCUUCCUCUUCUCCCAACCCACGCUUCCCCUGCUGCCGCCGCUGUAGUUGAUCCCAAAUCCGCCACCCAUCAUUGGCCCCUUCUGCUUGCUGCUGCGGCGUAGUUCUCUUUCCAUGGCCACCGUCCCGCAACAUCCGCACCCCUUUUGUGCAGAUCCAAGCUCAAGCAGGCAACCCCUCAUUGGAUUUCGGCGCCACUCGUAUGGAUCGAGCAGAUGCAGAUCUCUCCAAGAGGCCAACGAUCCCUGGUUCAAUUUUGGCCAUGGUCAUAAAGCAGAUCCUUCCUGUCCGGCCCCUCUUAUCUUGUGGUUAUUGCAAUCGUGAAAUCAAGUGGCAUCCUUCAACGCCCUCUUCUUCUGUAAGGGUCUGUGCAAGGAGUCCCUUGAAUUUCCUUUGAUUCAUGGAUACAUGGAAUUCGCUAGGUAAAAAGGAACUACUGAUUUGAAGUCGUCCUGUUUGCAUUUGCUGCUGCUGCUGCUAGCUAGCUAGCUACUAAAUUAUCUAAAACACUGCAUACUAUGUGAUUUAGGGAAAAGGCUGCCUAGGGAAAGGUACCUUGCUGAAAUCUGGAAGGUCUUGUCCCUGACUUAUCUGAAGGCGUGCGUGUGAACUGGGGUUAACCAGUUCCGUUCCUUGGAGGUUAAGCAGAUGCACCGAUGCAGCACCACAAGUCUGUGAAAUCUGGUUCAGGCAACUUUUGGAUUUUCUUAUGUUGCACAGCCUUUGUUCAAAAAGAAUAGUGUAACUGUUCACUGGGACAGAUUUCUACUUGUACAUACUUCAUUUAUGUGCUUUAGUUGACUACAAUUACUCCGAAAUCCCAUGAAGAGUUUUUGCCACC